rnacentral:rRNA from 1 species
CCAGGAUUCCCCUAGUAAUGGCGAAUGAAGCGGGAAGAGCUCAAAUUUGAAAUCUGCGUCGUCUUCGACGCCGAAUUGUAGUUUCGAGAAGCACUUUCUCGGCGGGUCCGGUUUCGUCCAAGUCGCUUGGAACAGCGCGUCAUAGAGGGUGAGAACCCCGUCUGUGGCGGAGCCGGCCGUUCACGAUGUGCUUUCGACGAGUCGGGUUGUUUGGGAAUGCAGCCCAAAAUGGGUGGUAAACUCCAUCUAAAGCUAAAUACUGGCACGAGACCGAUAGCGAACAAGUACCGUGAGGGAAAGAUGAAAAGCACUUUGAAAAGAGAGUUAAACAGUACGUGAAACCGUUAAAAGGGAAACGGAUGGGGUCAGCAAUGCGUUCUGCGAGAUUCAGCCGGGCGGCGCGUCGGGCGGGCGGUUUGCGGAUCUGAAUGGACCGCGGCCGUUCGGUUCGGUGCUCCGAUCGUCGCACUUCUCGCGAGCGCGCGCCAGCGUCGGUUGGAACUGGGUCUGAAAGGCGAGGGCAAGGUAGGCCGACUCCUUCGGGAGAUGGCUGUUAUAGGCCUCCGUCGCAUGGCCCGGAUCCGACCGAGGAGUCGCGGCAUGUGCCUCCCCUCGUGGGUUGGCUGGGGUCCCUUCUCGUCGGUCGGCGGUCGAAUGCGGUGGACUGCGUGCAGUGCGCCGCGACCGCCGUCGGUCGCUGGGGAGGUGACUUCGCACUACGUGCCAAGGACGCUGGCGGUCAAAUGGCCUCAUUCGACCCGUCUUGAAACACGGACCAAGGAGUCUAACAUGUGCGCGAGUCUUCGAGUGAAGGAAGCUCGCCGGCGCAAUGAAAGUGAAGGUGGCCUCGUGUCGCCGAGGCGAGAGCCUCCUCUCGGGGAGGUGCAUCGUCGACCGACCUAUUCCGCUCUCGGGAAGGUUUGAGUGGGAGCGCACCUGUUGGGACCC